rnacentral:tRNA from 1 species
GGAUUGUAGCUCAGUGGUUAAGCCCUUGCCUAGCAUGCGUGAGGCACUGGGUUCGAUCCUCAGCACCA